rnacentral:misc_RNA from 1 species
UUAAGUUCAGCGGGUAUCCCUACCUGAUCCGAGGUCAAACGUUGAAAUAAGCUUUCUGGACGCCAACUACUAUGGCCCGGAACGCAAAAUGUGCUGCGCUCCAACACCUAAUGGUUGGCUGCCAAUUUAUUCAAGGCAAGUUCGCGGGGCGAACAGUGCCCAACACCAAGCAAAGCUUGAGGGGUUAAAUGACGCUCGAA